UACAGAGGUCUCAAGCGUUGUUCGGAUUCAUUGGGCGUAAAGGGUGUGUAGGUGGCGCCGUAAGUCGGGUGUGAAAUUUCGGAGCUUAACUCCGAAGCUGCAUUCGAUACUGCGGUGCUUGAGGACUGGAGAGGAGACUGGAAUUCAUGGUGUAGCAGUGAAAUGCGUAGAGAUCAUGAGGAAGACCAGUGGCGAAGGCGGGUCUCUGGACAGUUCCUGACACUGAGGCACGAAGGCCAGGGGAGCAAACGGG
rnacentral:rRNA from 1 species